CUUUUCUCCCAUGCUAUCAGAUUGCUUCCUUGCAGCGUCAAAAUUGCAAAGCUGAUUCAAAAGUCCAGCUGUGAUGUAGUCUGUAUUAUCGAUCGCCAAGUGCCGGCGGAGUUGGCGGAGCAAUUUAGCGAGUUUCGAGCAUUUGAUAAGGCAUUCGAUAGUGUGGUUUCCUGCUUCAAAUCGCAAAAGUUGGACUUGCCCAUAGUUUAUUCACCAGUACAAGAAUUGACAGAUUAUCAUGAUGUGCGGACGUACCAAAAAGCGGCAGCUAAGUCGUUGGAACGAGCAAUUAAGGCUGGCUUCAAGUCGCCCAUGUUGAUCGUGCCCACAAGUCACCGCUUCUCCAAUGCUGAACUUUGUACUGUGCUAGGUGCUUUGGAUCAAUUAUAUGUUCCAAUUCAACUGCGAGAGGAUGUCCCUGCACAUGCCAAGCAAAUUAAGGAGUUAUCUGUGCUGAUUUCCAAACCUAAUGCUGAAGAUAUUUUAAAGGAAGCCUUGGUCUUAGAAUCUGGUCGAAUGGUUGCCCGUGAUAUUGGUGAGUCCGUGAGAGA